rnacentral:rRNA from 1 species
UACGAAGGGGGCUAGCGUUGUUCGGAAUUACUGGGCGUAAAGGGCGCGUAGGCGGUCCUGAUCGUCGGAUGUGAAAGGCCUGGGCUCAACCUGGGAACUGCAUCCGAUACGGCGGGACUGGAGUGUGGGAGAGGUUGGUGGAAUUCCCAGUGUAGAGGUGAAAUUCGUAGAGAUGUGGAGGAACACCGAUGGCGAAGGCAGCCCCCUGGGCUAACACUGACGCUCAUGCACGAAAGCGUGGGGAGCAAACAGG